AGCAGCGUGGCUCAGUGGAUAGAGCACGGGCCUGGGAGUCGGAAGACCUGGGUUCCAAUCCUGGCUCUGCCA
rnacentral:tRNA from 1 species